UGAGGAAUUUUCUGCAAUGGGCGAAAGCCUGACAGAGCAAUACCGCGUGAGGGAUGAAAGCCUAUGGGUUGUAAACCUCUUUUCUCAAGGAGGAAGAUAUGACGUUACUUGAGGAAUAAGCAUCGGCUAACCCUGUGCCAGCAGCCGCGGUAAUACAGGGGAUGCAAGUGUUAUCCGGAUUUAUUGGGCGUAAAGCGUCUGCAGGUUGAUAUUUAAGUCUUUUGUUAAACCUUCGGGCUUAACCUGAAUUCUGCAAAAGAAACUAUUUAUCUUGAGUAUGGUAGAGGUAAAGGGAAUUUCCAGUGGAGCGGUGAAAUGCGUAGAGAUUGGAAAGAACACCAACAGCGAAGGCACUUUACUGGGCCAUUACUGACACUGAGAGACGAAAGCUAGGGGAGCAAAUGGG
rnacentral:rRNA from 1 species